CAGUAGAUAUUUUAUUAAAAAUAUUAAUUUUGGAGAUUAAAGAAAGGGAAUAUUCUUUUCUACUGA
rnacentral:tRNA from 1 species